AUUGAACGCUGGCGGCAGGCCUAACACAUGCAAGUCGAGCGGAGCGGCGGACGGGUGAGUAAUGUCUGGGAAACUGCCUGAUGGAGGGGGAUAACUACUGGAAACGGUAGGCAAAAACGCAAUGUAUAAGAUGAGACUAGGUCGGAUUAGCUAGUUGGUGGGGUAAAGGCCUACCAAGGCGACGAUCCGUAACUGGUCUGAGAGGAUGAUCAGUCACACUGGAACGGAGACACGGUCCAGACUCCGACGGGAGGCAGCAGUGGGGAAUAUUGGACAAUGGGCGAAAGCCUGAUCCAGCCAUGCCGCGUGUGUGAAGAAGGUCUUCGGAUUGUAAAGCACUUUAAGUUGGGAGGCGUUACCAACAGAAUAAGCACCGGCUAACUUCGUGCCAGCAGCCGCGGUAAUAC
rnacentral:rRNA from 1 species